rnacentral:rRNA from 1 species
GACGAACGCUGGCGGCGUGCUUAACACAUGCAAGUCGAACGGAAAGGCCCUGCUUGCAGGGUACUCGAGUGGCGAACGGGUGAGUAACACGUGGGUGAUCUGCCCUGCACUUCGGGAUAAGCCUGGGAAACUGGGUCUAAUACCGGAUAGGAGCCAUUUUUAGUGUGAUGGUUGGAAAGUUUUUUCGGUGUAGGAUGAGCUCGCGGCCUAUCAGCUUGUUGGUGGGGUAAUGGCCUACCAAGGCGGCGACGGGUAGCCGGCCUGAGAGGGUGGACGGCCACAUUGGGGCUGAGGAACGGCCCAGACUCCUACGGGAGGCAGCAGUGGGGAAUAUUGCACAAUGGGCGCGAGCCUGAUGCAGCGACGCCGCGUGGGGGAUGACGGGCUUCGGGUUGGAAACUCCUUUCGCUAGGGACGAAGCUUUUUGUGACGGUACCUAGAUAAGAAGCACCGGCUAACUACGUG